rnacentral:rRNA from 1 species
GAAUAUUGCGCAAUGGGGGAAACCCUGACGCAGCGACGCCGCGUGGGUGAUGAAGGCCUUCGGGUCGUAAAGCCCUGUCGGAGGGGAAGAAGGAUUGGCGUUCAAAUAGGGCGUUGAUCUGACGGUACCCUCAAAGGAAGCACCGGCUAACUCCGUGCCAGCAGCCGCGGUAAUACGGGGGGUGCAAGCGUUGCUCGGAAUCACUGGGCGUAAAGAGCGUGUAGGCGGUUUCGUAUGUCUGGCGUGAAAGCCCCGGGCUCACCCCGGGAAGUGCGUUGGAAACUGCGAAACUAGAGUCCCGGAGAGGAAGGUGGAAUUCCAGGUGUAGCGGUGAAAUGCGUAGAUAUCUGGAAGAACACCGGUGGCGAAGGCGGCCUUCUGGACGGUGACUGACGCUGAGACGCGAAAGCGUGGGGAGCAAACAGG